rnacentral:sRNA from 1 species
GAAGAGCUCGUCGAUCUCCUCGUCCUUGGACGUGAGAAAGAUGACGGGCAGGUCGGACUUCUGUCUC